CUCUCUGGAUGAUAUUGUGACAACAGGAAUAUUGAAAUUCAGUUUAUAUGGAAUGACUGGAUUAUCUUCCCAUGGUUUCAUUUUGAGGAUCCUGAGGACUCUACUAAAAAGCUUUAAAAACCUGGAGAAUAGCACCCUGACUGGAUGGAGCAUCUCACGUGCAGUAAGGACAAAGUUCUCGGGCACCCCACCUGGCCUCAAGCAUCC
rnacentral:lncRNA from 1 species